AACAACUACAGGCAGCACUAGUGCAUCUACAACAGAAGCUACCACCACCUUCACAACCACACCACUUACAACCACUGAAACCACUGUACCAUCCACAAGUACAGAGGCUACCACAACAGCUUCAAGCACCACAUUAGUUCCCACAUCAACGACAAUAGGAACAACUACAGGCAGCACAAGUGCAUCUACAACAGAAGCUACCACCACCUUCACGACCACACCACUUACAACCACU